rnacentral:rRNA from 1 species
UACGAAGGGGGCUAGCGUUGCUCGGAAUCACUGGGCGUAAAGGGUGCGUAGGCGGGUCUUAAGUCAGGGGUGAAAUCCUGGAGCUCAACUCCAGAACUGCCUUCGAUACUGGGAGUCUUGAGUUCGGGAGAGGUGAGUGGAACUGCGAGUGUAGAGGUGAAAUUCGUAGAUAUUCGCAAGAACACCAGUGGCGAAGGCGGCUCACUGGCCCGAUACUGACGCUGAGGUGCGAAAGCGUGGGGAGCAAACAGGG